rnacentral:rRNA from 1 species
UAGUCCACGCAGUAAACGAUGAGUGCUAGUUAUUGGGAUCUUAGAUUUCGGUGGCGAAGCUAACGCGUUAAGCACUCCGCCUGGGGAGUACGGCCGCAAGGCUAAAACUCAAAGGAAUUGACGGGGACCCGCACAAGCAGUGGAGCAUGUGGUUUAAUUCGAUGCUACGCGAAAAACCUUACCAGCUCUUGUAUCCUAAUCGCGAUUUUCAGAGAUGAAUUUCUUCAGUUCGGCUGGAUUAGUGACAGGUGUUGCAUGGCUGUCGUCAGCUCGUGUCGUGAGAUGUUAGGUUAAGUCCUUCAACGAGCGCAACCCUCGUCCUUAUUUGCCAUCGGGUUAUGCCGGGAACUAUAAGGAAACUGCCAACGACAAGUUGGAGGAAGGUGGGGAUGAUGUCAAGUCAUCAUGGCCCUUAUGGGCUGGGCUACACACAUGCUACAAUGGCGACUACAGCGGGAAUGCGAAAGAGUAAUCUGGAGCCAAUCCUUCAAAAGUCGU